rnacentral:rRNA from 1 species
AGAGUUUGAUCCUGGCUCAGAACGAACGCUGGCGGCGUGCUUAACACAUGCAAGUCGAGUGCGCGCCUGUAGCAAUACAGGUGGCGCACGGCGCACGGGUGCGUAACACGUGGGCAAUCUGCCCUUCGAUGGGGAAUAACCCCGGGAAACCGGGGCUAAUUCCGCAUGACAUUCCUUGGACUGCGGUUCGAGGACUCAAAGCCGUAAGGCGUCGAAGGAGGAGCCUGCGGCAGAUUAGCUAGUUGGUGAGGUAAUGGCUCACCAAGGCGACGAUCCGUAGCUGGUCUGAGAGGACGAUCAGCCACACUGGGACUGAGACACGGCCCAGACUCCUACGGGAGGCAGCAGUGGGGAAUCUUGCGCUAAUGCGGGAAACCGUGACGCAGCGACGCCGCGUGAGGGAAGAAGGCCUUCGGGUUGUAAACCUCUUUCAGGAGGGACGAAGCCACUCGGGUUAAUACCCCCUAUGAUGACGGUACCUUUUGUAAGCUCCGGCUAACUCCGUGCCAGCAGCCGCGGUAAUACGGGGGGAGCAAGCGUUGUUCGGAUUUACUGGGCGUAAAGGGCGCGUAGGCGGUCAGCACAAGUCAGUUGUGAAAUCUCCGGGCUUAACUCGGAAAGGUCAACUGAUACUGUGCGACUAGAGUGCAGAAGGGGCAACUGGAAUUCUCGGUGUAGCGGUGAAAUGCGUAGAUAUCGAGAGGAACACCUGCGGCGAAGGCGGGUUGCUGGGCUGACACUGACGCUGAGGCGCGAAAGCCAGGGGAGCGAACGGGAUUAGAUACCCCGGUAGUCCACGCUGUAAACGAUGGGCACUAGGUGUCCGGGGUAUUGACCCCCUGGGUGCCGCAGCUAACGCAUUAAGUGCCCCGCCUGGGGAGUACGGUCGCAAGAUUAAAACUCAAAGGAAUUGACGG